rnacentral:rRNA from 1 species
GGGUCAGUAGGUUGGUCGUGCCACCGGUACGUACUGGUCUCACUGAUUCCUCCUUCCUGAAGAACCGUAAUGCCAUUAAUUUGGUGUUGCGGGGAAACAGGACUGUUACUUUGAAAAAAUUAGAGUGUUUAAAGCAAGCUAACGCUUGAAUACACGAGCAUGGAAUAAUGAAAUAGGACGAUCGAUCCUAUUUUGUUGGUUUCUAGGAUUGACGUA